UGGCUCUCGCAUCGAUGAAGAACGCAGCGAAAUGCGAUAAGUAAUGUGAAUUGCAGAAUUCAGUGAAUCAUCGAAUCUUUGAACGCAUCUUGCGCUCCUUGGUAUUCCGAGGAGCAUGCCUGUUUGAGUGUCAUUAAAUUCUCAACCUUGUCAGCUUUUAUCGGCUGGUCAAGGCUUGGAUGUGGGGGUUUUUUUGCAGGUCUUCACAGAUCUGCUCCCCUGAAAUACAUUAGUGGUGCCUCUGUAGUGUGAGCGGCUAUUUGGUGUGAUAAUCUAUCUACGCCAUUAGACGGCCUACAUCUCUUGAAUGAGAAGGAGGGAUUAAUCUGCUUAUAACCGUCCUUCGGGACAAAACAUAAAUGACUAUUUGACCUCAAAUCAGGUAGGACUACCCGCUGA
rnacentral:misc_RNA from 1 species